ACACAACUAUAUUUUCUAUCUUUCUUGGGUUCAUAUUUUUGUCACUAACAAUACUGAUAAUUUAAAGUUGGAUACUCCCUCUUUACCUCUUACUCAUAUCUUUUUUAUUCAAGCUCUAAAUGAAUGAAUCUCUGGGGUUGAAUGAGAAUAUAAUGAAGCGAUAAGUUAUAUAGUCGUUUGAAAUUGUUGAGGAUGAGCAUUGACGCAAUGAUAAGGUUUUAGAGCAACUCAAAUGGAAGUUGCUUGUCCCAUGAAACAGCUCAAGUCUCAGUUUCUUAUCAUUGGAGGACUCUAACGUGGCAACAUGAGUUGCUUAAAGAAGAGAGAGAGUUGUUUCCUCAAGCAACC